GUUUGUUAUCAUUUUCACUUCAAGUAUAGGGACAGAGGAAGCGUGAAGUUAAAGGUUUCCAUUUACAAGCUAGCUUCGUUGGCUAGGGAAAGGCUUCUUUUGAUUCUCUGAUUUGAUAAGCCCAGGGCGAUUUUAAAGUCCUGAGGCCAUACCUGAAAUGAAGAGAGUAGGUGCCAUAGAACUGUAGGAUGGCUUACUUUAGAAGGGACCUUAAAGCCCAGCCAGUUCCAAACCCCUGCCACGGACAGGGCUACCACCCACCAGAUCAAGCAGCCCAGGGCCCCAUCCAACCUGACCUUGAAUGCCUCCAGGGAUGGGUACACAGCUUCUGUGGGUAGCCCGUGCUUGUGCCUCACUACUCUCUGAAUAAUGAACUGCCUCAAAAUAUCUAAUCAAAAUCUUCCCUCAUUUAGUUUAAAGCCAUUCCUCCUCGGCCUAUCAUUGUCUGCCCAUGUAAAAUUUGAUUUCCCUCCUGCUUAUAAACUGGAAGACUGCAGUGGAGUCUCCCUGGAUCCUUCUCUUCUCCAGGCUGAACAAGCCCAAGUCCCUCAACCUGUUUCUACAGGAAAGGUGCUCCAGCCUUCUGAUCAUCUUCAUGGCCCUCCUCUGGACCCACUCCAGGUCCACAUCUUUCUUGUACUUGGGGCCCCAGGCCUGGAUGCAGUACUGAACAUGGUGCCUCAUGAGGGCAGAGUAGAAAAGGACAGUCACCUCCCUCUUCCUACUGCCACCCCUCUGUUGAUGCAGCCCACGAUUCUCUUGGCCUUCUGGGCUGCAAACACGUACUGCUGGCUCAUAUUAAGUUUUUCAUCUAUCAGAAUCCCUAAGUCCUUCUCAGCAAGGCUGUACUCAAUGAGUUCUUCUUCCGGUUUGUAUACAUAUCUGGGAUUGUUCCAACUCAAGUGCAACAGUUUGCACUUGUCCUUGUUGAACCUCACUAGGUUCUCAUGGGCCCACUUUUCAAGCCUGUCCAGGUCCCUGUGGAUGGCAUCCCUUCUUUUUGUUGUAUCAACUGUACCACUCAGCUUGAUACCGUCUGCAAACUUGCUGAGAGUACGCUUGAUCCCAUCAUCUGUGCCACUGAUAAUGAUUUUAAAGAAUAACUGUCCCAGCACAGACCCCUGGGGUACAUCACACAUCACCAGUCUCCACCUGGAUAUAGAGCCAUUGACUAGAACCCUCUGGCUGCAGUCAUCCAACCAAGGAGGGUACCCAGGACCCUCUCGACACCAGCCUUACCAAAAGCCCGGGGCACUACAGCAUGCACAGGUUUUACUACAAGAAGAUGGGGGAGAGCCUGCCUUGUCUCUGCAGGCAGACCCUGGGUCACCUCAAGCAAAGCAGAGCAUGGUAGCUAUGUUAUCCAUACUGCUGGUCCAAACACACGCACAGCUGCUCAGAGGGGUUUGGUGAAGUGGAUGACUGCUCUAGGAUUAGAUGCUGAAAGCCAAAUGCCAACAACAGGGAGAGGUGUACAUAGCAAAAUUACUCUUCUAAACAGCAAGCCUGGAGUGACCAUUCAGUGAAGCCCAUGUAGCCUUUCUGGCUGUCACCUCCAAGACUGCACGAGCAAAAUCAUUUCUGAGUCAGCAAUCACCUCCUAUUCCAAUACUUUCCAUCAGUGCCUUGCUGUUUUCUCCCUCUAGUACACACAGCUUAAAGUCAGUAUGCCAGGAGGUAGCACCUCAAGUCAAUGGCCUAGAAACUGCUCAAGGUGCCAUUUGUUUUGUGACAGUUUAAUGCUUACAUGUCCUAAUGCACAAGGGAGAACCAAGGUGGGAGUGAAGGGGAGCAGAGAUGCCCUGCAAAAUAUCAGUGAUAACUUUUAAGGCUCUGAAUGGAAUUUUAAGGAGACAGAAGCAAACUAGUUGGCAGAAGAAACCACUUUUAGUCAGAGUACUUUCUUUCAAGCUGGCUUCUUUAUGUCUACUUUAAAGAAAUCUUUCCAUGCUCCCUUCCUCCAAUUUUAGACAUUGCUUUUCCCUUUGAAAGCCUACAACAUGGUGAUUUUGAGCAGCUCUUCCUUUAUCUACUGACUGGAGAUACAUGCCAAAUAAAUACUCUGUAUCCCCUGGUGUGCUCUUAUCCAUCAAAGAACAAGUAUGGCUUUAGGCAGCAUUAAAUCAAUUCCGCAUUUUGUACUGCUUUCUGCUUCCCCCCUUCUUACCAACUGGCCAUAGAACAGCCCCACUCACACACACAAGGCACAGAAUUUGUUUUUCAUGCCAUGUAGUCACCUCAGAAGAGUCAGAGUUUAAAUAUGGCUGCAGGAAAUACAAAGAUAAAGAGCUUGCAGGCAGCUAAUCUGUGCAAGGAAGCUCAGUGCAAUAUCCUUAAAUAAGGAAAACGGCACUUCUGGGCAAUGACUGUACUAAGUCAAGAAUACACUUUAAAUUAACUUUGCUGGCAUAUGUAAAACCAUUGGAUAUGUUAUAUGUGUGACAGCAUACCAAUCCAUAUUUUCUCCAUAUGACCCAGUAUCCUACACCUCAUAAAUAGGAUGCCAAAUCCCACAUGCUCCUGACACAGCCAGCCCUUGCCAAGGGUUUCUUGGGGUAUUUAUGCCCACUUUCUCACCUUCCCCAGAAUAUGAGGCUUCAUAUCCAGGUUACCUUGAAACCGGUCCCAAGCCGCCACACAGACCAAGUAUUUUAUUUGUAGGAGAACUGCUGGUUUACCUAUCAUUCAUUCUUGGUAGCAUGUUCUUGUUGCUGCCUCCCUCCACUCAGACACCCAGAGGUAUUAAUUCCCGGUGUCUUAGAGAUGAUCCCGCUAUGUUUGCAAGCUCUUCUCCUAGCACAGAUGGAUGACCCAGUCCUUAGAGGGGUUGUGCUGGAGCAGAAGAUCUCCCUGUGCCAUCAGAAAGAAGGCAAACUUGAAGCAACACAUGGCACUUAUACCGGGCCUGUUUUGAUACAGAAGAAUUUCCCUUGUUACACACACGUGUAACAGACCCAGACUCCAGAGCCUUGCCAGACACACUGCCAAGGAGGCGACAAGACAAUUACAAAGAACAACAAAGAAAAGGCACAUGCACUGAGAGGGGGAAGGGGCAGAGCUGGCAAGUCGUCCUCCGAGGACAAUGCAAUUCUGCAAGUCUCAACAACACCAAUCAAGAAGUGCAGAUUUUAAUCUUCGCUGUAAUUAACUUUAUCCAAACGAGCAGCAGGCUGGCUGGCUUUGUAUGGGAGUCUUCUAGCAAUUUAAUGUGCCUUUAAAAUGACUUGGCACUUCUAGAGGAAGAGGAGAGGGAGAAGAAGAUUGAUGCGGUGCCAAGCAUUUACUCCCACUAAUGAAAAGGAACUGCUAGGGCUCUUUGAUCAUAUAUUGUACCCUAUUCACUAGGUGCUAUUCAAUGGAAACACUGUUGUUACCACUACAUUUUCCAAACUGACAGCACAAUAAAGUACUUCCCAGCACAUAUGUAGCAUGUAGUGCUAAGUGAAUGGCACAGAUAUUUAAAAUUACAUCCGCAGUGUGUUAAAAUGCAAUGUGGCAUGAAAUAUGUUGCACUCACGCUAAGGCAGUAGAAAUGACAGUCCCUGCAUUUCUGGACCUCCCUUGGCUCCAAGAUUUGCACGAUGCCCUGGCCUGUCGUGCUGUGCAUGUUACCAUGCAGAAGCCAGUGCCGGGAAGGGUUCUCAGUUCAUUCAAGCUUUUUGCUUGAGAAGGGAACGUAUUGCUAAAUCAUAGAAUCAUAGAACAGCCUAAGUUGAAAAGGACCACAAAGAUCAUCUGGUUUCAACCCCUCUCCCAUGGGCAGGGUCACCAACUGCUCGGAUGACUUGCUGUGACUGCCUUGGCCAUCUCAGAGGCAAUGUGUGGAGUCACCAUCCCUGGAUGAUUUCAAGAAAAGGGGAGGUGUUGCUCUGAGUGAUGUGGUUUAGUGAUAUGGUGGUGAUGGAUUGAUGGUUGGACAAGAUGAUCUUGGUGGUCUUUACAGCCUUAAUGAUUCUAUGAUUCUAUGAUCUCAGAGCUUGGAGUGGAGCUGAGAGCUCUGAGACAGUGUGCGUGUUGGUGGACAUGGGCUAGGAAAUUUAUGUCAAUGCUUGGCUGGCCAUAGUCAGAUGACUUAAAUGGUGCAUACUUCCCUGUGAUUAAUGCUUCCUGUUGGUUGGCUUUGACUGUAGUUUCACUCCACACCUUACUUAUGCGCACAGAAAAAUUUCUUAGAGGUACCACUUUCUCCCCAGUGAGCAAUGAGUAGCACAGAAAUUGUGAUUGAAUGCCUGUGCACUGCCAUGUCUGUGCAGGGAGCUCUGCAUGGUGUCGGCGGGCCAGGGUUAGAUUUGUACCUCUAGCAGCUGCACAGGAGUUACUUGUAUGAUGUCAUGAGGUUAGUUGCAUAUCUCAAGAGUGACACAGGUAGAGUAGCACCACCAGUUCAGGAAAGAUAAGCAUAGUGUGGCCAAGGUGAGGUAAGCAGCAGUGCCUCAGUGUGCAAAAACCUUUCAGUGCAGCUUAGAUUUGUUUCUCAUCACUCUUCGCUGCUUGUUGCACCACUUACAGUUCAUGGAUCACACAGUCCAUUACUGUCUGACGCAUUCCUUCCCUGGAGACACAACUAUGCUACUGUUCUUGUAAAGAGAGUUACAUAAUGGAAAGUGCUUCUUUUUGGAUUGGAUUUAGUGCCUAUGAGGUCAAGGUCUUCAUGAAGAUCCUGCAGUACCUCCUUUUAGUAUCAACACCCCAUCCUUUGCAUACUGGCCACACUCCAGCUGCUUGAGUCUGCUCUUCUUUGCAUUUGUGCUGAACCAGGUAUGAAAUGUCCAAGUCAAACCACACAAUGUGUCAGCCCAGGCAAACCCAGCAUCAGUGCAGCGAGGCAAGCAUUACUUGGAGCAGGCCAGAAGUGUGCCUGAGAAGCCUCUGACUCUUUAACAGGAUAACCAACCGUAUUGUCAUAUCCCAGUGUUCCUGGGUACUGCUUAAUUUACUUCUGUCAAUGCAGUCACCUUGUCCCACUCUACUAAAACUACAUUCCCUCACAAGUACCUUUCCCGAUACUUUCAUCUUCUCUCAGAGCUUUGGUAAUAAACAAACCAAUUCACCACCUGUUAGGAAGACUGCUAGACCUGCAAAGAUUAACAUUAAAAAAGAGCAAAAACAGUGAUGCAUGUCUGAGAUUAAAUAAUUCAUGAUCAGAAACAUAAGAAAAGCCAGAAGUGAGGAGGAAAGAGAAGCUACAAGCACUUCAAACCCGCAGUGUGUUAGGCACCGAUGCCAUCAAUCACCAUACGUUCAAGAGGGGAGUGCCACAUUCGCAUGCCAAUGAGCUCAAGUGAUGCUGAGCACCAGGGUAGAGGAGAAAUCUCCAUUCCCUUGAAGUCAGAGAAGAAUCCCUGGGUCUGCAUGCCCUGUCCAGCCAGACACCUAAAACACGACUCACAGCACCUGCACCAAGCUUCUUCAUCUACCUCAAGAGAGUCUCUAGGAUGGUCAGAUAGCUUAAUCCUGGGCUGUGGACUUCAAAGCUAGUGAGAAGUGGAAGGUACACCUCUGGACAGACCAAAGUGUCAUUUGCUCUCCCCUUAAAGUAUUCCAUGCUUUUCAGUAUAAGUGGCCAAGGAAGUGAGUGCUCUUCUGCACUGAGAGCUUCACUGUGGGAAGUCAGGCCUCUUUAUUACUCAAUAGCAUCUUAUUUAGCAGCAAGCUCUGCUGAGUUCAGGGGCUUUAUCCCAGGGUAAGUCACUAAUUAAAAUCAACAUGCUCCACUCUGUUUUACAGUUUAUUAACUUAGCUUUGUUUUGUAGACAAAUCUAAGGAUUAACUCUUAUUGUUUGUCUGCUUUGAGGCCCUUUUUGUUGUUGUUGUUUAAAAGUAGGGCAUUUAUUGAGAAAUCAUUGACCGAACGCAGCCUUGUGCUCCCUGUGAGAAUCUGAUAACGAGAUGAAUGCCUGAACUGCUUUGAAAUGGACAGAUCGAUGUUACAAUAUGAAAGUGAGAAAAUGAUUUAGGGUUAGAGGUGGCAAGCCUUGCUCUGAUCUCACACGGGACAUAAAUCAGAUAUUAUACCACUGGAGUCAGUGCCAGUGCCCUGGGGUAGAUCUGUUAACACAAUCCUGAAUCAAACCCAGUGAUUUUCAGAGUUUUGGACAGUGAGGAGGGAUUGUUAAAUGGGACAAAAACAUGCAAAUGAGAUAAUGUGUGGGUCUGUUAGAGAAUGCUAGAAGAAAGAGUCCUGCUUUUCACUUUUGCUUUACAUUGAGAUGCUGUGUAUUCCUUCUGGGGGGAGGGGAGAGUGGCAGAGAACAUAUUUUUGCAUUUAUUUCUGAAAUGAGCUGAAGUGCAUCAUCCCUGUAUGUGUAUGUAAUACAAGCAAAGCUCCAUGGGGCAAAAAUCUAAGUUCUGUUUCAGGAAAAAUCCUUUGAGUGACUCCAAUGGUGGAAGGAGGGGUUUCAAAGCUGAGCCAGCCCAAAGAAGUACUCUUUGAUGCAGCCUUCCUUUGGCCUGAGGAGCUAACUCAUAUCUGCCAGAUUGCCUUGGGCAGCAGCUUUUGUUGUCUCUAAAUAUCUCUCUCCAUAACAGCCUUAAUUUUUCUUUUCAGAAGGAAAAAGGUUGGUGACCCCUCAGCACUGCCCAGGCCUGCAAUUGCUACUGGCCAUCAAGCGCAUGGCGCCAGGAACAUGCUCCCUGAUUACCAAAGCAUCCAUCCAGUCUAUACCAAUUACAGUGGGACACUUACAGUGACUUUUUUUUUAAGCUACUUUGCAGCAGACUUUUUCCUAGCAUCAUUGCCCUGCCUUGCUUUCUUACCUCUACCAUGCAACACGCGCUUCAGCACCUGGAAGAUUGUCUGUAAAGACAAUCCCCUUCCUUCCUUAGACAAGCAACAGCCACACCAGCAGGAUUAAAGUGUUCAUUUAAGAGCAAUCAAGUUUACAUGUGUUGUGUUUUCUUUUAUUUUACCAAAGGAAACACAUGAGUGAGUGAUUAAAGCAGACACUUGGGUCGGCGCAAUUCAUUGAGAUUGCUGUUGUUUGCUUUGAUGAGAUUCCAGUCCGCGGCAAAUUUCCUCCCCGUGAUUAGCCUGGUGUGGAAUACACAAUGCUCGCUCCGCUGGAAUAAGACCUGGGGAGAGCGCAGACAGCAUGUUUAUGCACUGAUGUGCUUGAUUAUUUAUUGCAGUGUCAUCUCGGCGGGAUAGCACAGGUUAGUGCAGGGUUUGCAGCUAAUCCGCGCUAGAGCUGCUAUUGAGCCCUUCAUCAGGCAUUACAGGAUGAUCCUGGCUGGAAAAACAGAGCCUGUUCUCACUGAACUGAUCACCCCUGAACCCCACAAAUGGCCUGUGGUAAUUUCCAGCCCUAUUUGAUAGUCACAGAUUCUCACCAGAGGAAAACAGGGAUUAACUGCAACAGUAUGUGGCUGCCCAGUAUGUUCUUCUCUCUGUCAGGGAUUUCUGCCUGCUGUUGUAGUUUCAUAAUUAUGCAGUUUUGUGAAGCGAAGGGUUAGCCAAGAAGAAAGCCCACAGCCCAGACCUCCUCUCUGUGUCCCUGCACCCACAGAUUUAGGUGGUAGCAUCUCUUCCCCAGACAAGCAUUAUUCCCUAUUAUCUCAAGGCAACACAGAAAACUCGCCUCCCAACAAGAGAUUAGCAUAAAAGACUGUGCUUCUGCUGCAGCAUUAAGGAUGGACUCAAAUCAACUUAAACAUGACAGGUUCAUGACUCGCAUGCUGCCUGCCUUGAGCUGCUCUUCCAGCUGUGCUCCAGCUGUGCCUACAGUGCAUCUGGAGGACCACCUCCAGGUCACCACCACAUGCAGACUAACUUCCUGUAAGCACAGCUGGAGGGUGGGAAGCUACACACAGCAUCCCCUCGGAUUGUUUGUCACCCACUGGGACAACUGAUCCCAACUGGAGUGAGGGUGACCAUACUUCCCAGGGGUGUCCAUGCUUUGCCUUGCUGAGCAGCUCACUGACCACUGGACCAGAGCAAGAUACUUUAUUAUUUAUAUGUAUAAUCUGUAUUUAUCCAUAGAAUCAUAGAAUCAUUAGACUUGGAAGGGACCUUUAGAGGCCGCCUGAUCCAACUCCCCUGCAGUGAACAGGGACACCUACAACCAGUCAGCAGAUGUCCUCUCAGCUGUUCCCUGUUAUAGAGUGGUCCCUUGGUGAGGAACAUCCACAGCAACGGGAGCAACUCCAGCACUGCAGAAGCCACAGCAACACGUGGAAUGGAAAACACGAGGUAUUUAGCUCUGCCAUUAUGAAGGAGCAACACCAGGAGCAACAUCUUACAAUAGGGUUCAUCCCAGAGAGAGGAAUCAAUGACUCAGCCUUUUCUUGAAGCAUCUACACCAAAACCGAGAGUGAAGUCUGACAUUUUUGUGUGUGCACGCGUGUGCUUCAGAAUUGCCAUUCAUCUCCAGCCUCCAAAUCAACAAUUAUAUGGAGUCCCCCAGGAGGGAAAUGUGUUCCUGUCAUAAGCAUGGAGUAAUGACUUGGAAGCAGUGGUGUGUAACAGGAUCCCCAGUGCUAGGCUUUGCUGAUAACCACACGCACUAAUAAAACAACCUGGAGUUGGUUCCAGCCCUUAACAUUGCCUUAUUACUAUUCUAUGGGGUCUGCAUUGGGAAAAGAAACACCAAUUGCGUGCAAAGUAAUAUCCAGAUGCAAGCCGUGCCUGGCGUCUUCACAGGCCCUCAUAAAUUUGAGCAAGUGCUCGGUGUUCCUUCCAUCUCAUUGACCUGACAGAGUGAUCACUCCCAGCUACUGCACUGCCCGCGUCCCCCAUCGACAACCUGUGAGGACAAAUGCUACACUGACAUAUUUUCUUCCUAAUUUCUUAAUGUGUAACAUUUUUCACCGUUUCUCACAGCCUAACUCAAUUGCCUCUGAGAG
ensembl:lncRNA